GGGCGCAUAGCUCAGCGGGAGAGCGGCUGCCUUACAAGCAGUAGGUCCCUGGUUCGAUCCCAGGUGUGCCCA
rnacentral:tRNA from 1 species